AGGAGGGUCGUCCUAGAUGUUAUAGGAAGCAUGAUUUUGUUGGGGAAAUGCUCGCAUGUGGUGUUUUUUACCACCUCCUUGUUGCUGUAGGAGACUCAAUGAGUGCAGUUUGCACCAAAGAGGCUAAAGACAAACUUGUGCACUAAAGUUUUGGGGGUGGGGGGGCGAACAAAAUGAGAUGAAAUGUAAUUUUCUGCUUCAUUGUUUGAAUAAACUGAAACAAAAAUAUUCUUCACAGAUGAUCUUACCGAAAACUGGAGAUCUAAUGGACUCCUAUUAUCUCUUUUACAGAUUGACAGCUUUUACCCGCACAAAGAUUCACACACAGAUCUGCCUACAACCAAUUGGACUCCUUUCCUAUAAAAAAGCUACGUAAAUGUCGAGAGAACCGGUGUUUCCCUGAGUGCGGAGGGGCAGCUGUUCCUCCUCCUGCCUGCCGGUGAAUAGCAGCUUCCUGCCGGCCGCUGCCGCUGCUGCAGCCGCUGUCAGGAGUUCGGUUUCCCCUCACGUCCUGCUCGGCUCCCCGGCGGCGCGGCUUCGCGCCGAGCACAACAGGCAAGUCGUACAAAAACUGCUCUUGAGAGUGGAUGAACAAGCCUCAAAUGGAACCUGAGAAGAGGAAAAAAAAGAGGAGAAACAGGAGAGGAGAGGAAAGGAGGAGGGGAGGGAGAAAAUCAAUUUUCCCAGACAGAGGCAGGCUGGUCUAAUGGAGGUCUAAAAGAAGAGGAGGAGGAGAGGACAUAUUUUCCUCUGAUUACCUCCUGUAUAGCCUCCCUGGCAAACCUUGAAAGCUAGCAUCGCUACAGCGGCCUCGCUCAUCCGACCUUUUUUCACAGAAGGUAUGGAGUCUAGUUGCUUAUUCCACUCGGCAGCAGUCAGGCUUUGAGGUGGAGGACACACACACUGCAGCUAAAAACAUCCCAACAUGCAAAAUGACAAGGAAGUCAAUCAAACUGAAAGUAGAUCAUGUCUUCAUGAGCAGAAAUGCACAUUUUUCUCUUUACUCUGAAUUCUCAACAAUGGUAGAACAUUUUGAAGCCACAUCUAAGUUAAUUUCUCCUUUUUCAAUCUCUAAACUGCCCUUUGUAGAAGUUAUGUAACCCCUAUAUUUCGGAGGGAGAAAAUGAACUGGAUUAAAGGGAUAAAGGUUUCCAUUUGGCUGAGAUGAAUCAUUUAUAAAAUAUAAAGGAAGGAAAUUUGUCAUUAGUGUCUCUGCCAAAUGAAGGGAGAUAUCUAGAGUACCCCUUUGCUUGUGAUUCUCUGCUACAGCGGCCUCUCUGAAGUCAUAUGACCAGGUCGCUAUGUUCAAUUUCCUGCUACAGGCUUGAUUAUUAUAAAUUGGUAAGUGAAGUGGACAUUUAGUGCAAUGCAGAAAAUGCAGGCAGUGAUUUGUUCCAGUUCUAACUGAGUGAAUGUUAAAUCUUGUUUAUGGCUCUCCUCAUAAAGUAAAAUGAAUGUACGAUGGUAGAAAAUUUACUGGAAAAUUACCAAACUGAUGCCUGGAAAAAGGGAGCAAUAAAUCUAAGAUUUUUUGAUGUAAAACUUUGUAUAAACCGAUGGAGCAACAUUUGUCCCAGUUAGAGCAUGUGUGACAGCUUCGCUUUUUAAAUAAAUGAUAGUGAGUUCAAAUCUGUUGCCUCAUGUUGCCACAAGCCAUGUGAAGUUAAGAGUCUAAAAGGCUGUGACCUGCAGUAGAACCAGAAAAGAGAAAAAAAAGGGACCAAAACAGGGACAGAUGUGGCUCCAAAACCACAAAACCCCUCCAACAGCCACUGUGUGUCUACUUCUGUAGCUUUGUGAUGUGCUCAUUAAACCUGUGAAUGUUCAACCAGCUAUUAAACGUUUCAAUGAACUUUU